rnacentral:rRNA from 1 species
UACGUAGGGUCCGAGCGUUGUCCGGAGUUACUGGGCGUAAAGCGCGCGCAGGCGGCGGUAUAAGCAUGGCGUGAAAGCCCCAGGCUUAACCUGGGAGGGUCGUCGUGGACUGUACCGCUUGAGGGCGAUAGGGGCUGGUGGAAUGCCUGGUGUAGUGGUGAAAUUCGUAGAUAUCGAGAGGAACACCGGUGGCGAAGGCGGCCUUCUGGACAGUGACUGACGCUGAGACGCGAAAGCGUGGGGAGCAAACAGG